UUGAUUUAGCAAUUGGUAUUGAUUUGCCCAAAUUAUUGAGAGAAAGAAAAUUCAGCAAAGGCAAAGACCUCAAAAGCACAAAUAAAAAACUGUUCCAAUGGUCAAAAGACUAAGAACAGAGCUAAUAGCCACUUGGAAAGGUGACCAACUGAGUAACUGGGGGUGGGUAUCACAAAUAUGUACCUUCACGUCAAAAGGUUGGUGACUUCUCCAAGCAAGAUCUAAAGUGCAAAAAGCCUGAAUAAAGUACUUCAAGGUAAGGGCAAGUCACACCAAAAGCUAGAAAAAGUCUUAACAAAUAAAUGUGCAUGUAUGGUCUCUCUUGAGGAAAACAAAUCCUAGCCAUGGUAAGCAAAGGGAAACGAGGAAAGAAGGUGAGUAAUCUUCAUGCAUAUAUUCUUCACUACAAUGAUUCAAAAUAGGGGUCUAGAGUAAGAGCUUAAGUGGAAAUAAGGAUCUAGAGUGAGAAAACUUAUUUGACUAUGUUUAUUUGCUUGAGGACAAACAAAAUGUUAAGUGUGGG
rnacentral:lncRNA from 1 species